GCAGAGUAGGCCAGUGCGCGUGAAGUGCCGGCGGGACGGGGAGUUGCCUGCCGGACGAAAAGAGUCUUUCUUGCGGUGCGCUGGCCGCAUCCCGCUGC
rnacentral:ncRNA from 1 species